rnacentral:rRNA from 1 species
UACAGAGGGGGCAAGCGUUGUUCGGAAUUACUGGGCGUAAAGGGCGCGUAGGCGGCCUGUUAAGUCGAACGUGAAAUCCCCGGGCUCAACCCGGGAACUGCGUCCGAUACUGGCAGGCUUGAAUCCGGGAGAGGGAUGUGGAAUUCCAGGUGUAGCGGUGAAAUGCGUAGAUAUCUGGAGGAACACCGGUGGCGAAGGCGGCAUCCUGGACCGACAUUGACGCUGAGGAGCGAAAGCUAGGGGAGCAAACGGG